CGUGACACCUGUCCAGAAGGCAACUUCCAGAAGCAGAGCACAUUUCUUAGCUGUCCCAGUGUGAUCCAGGAUGUGUUCAACUCCAACGCGCCUCUGGUGUUGGUUGGGUUUCUAGGGAUUGCUGGACUCAUGAUGUUGGCCCUGGUGUGCAGUGUCAUCCUCAGCAGAUACAUCUCAAAGAAUCCUGCAUCUUCUUCUGGAACUAACUCCCAGUUGGAACGUAUGCAUAUGGAAUGUAUUGAGAGUUUGUGUCAUUCCUUAAUUGAUAAUUAGGUGUGUAAUGCAUUGUU